GGUUGUGGCUCAGUGGUAUAGAGUGCUUGCCUUGCACACAUGAGGCACUGGGUUCAAUCCUCAGCACCA
rnacentral:tRNA from 1 species